rnacentral:rRNA from 1 species
AUGGGCUCCUCCCCGCCGCCGGCCACCGACGACGACCGCUACCAAGACCCGAUGUGGGAGAGGCGGACGCACGCGAGGAUCCUGGUCCGCGACGCCGACGCCGGCCGCAUCAUCGGCAGCGCGGGGUCCUCCAUCGCCGCCAUGGAGAAGGAGGCCGGCUCCGGCGCCCGCAUCACGCUCUCCGGCAGGGACCAGAUCCUCGCCGGCACCGACCGCCGCGUCGUCUUCCUCUCCGGCCCCUUCCGCGCCGUCAUGGACGCCGCCGACCUCCUCCUCCACAAGAUCCCCCCCCGCUACCAGGGCGAGCAGGCGGACAACACGGUGGUGCUGGUGGUGCCCUACGCCUGCUGCGGCGCGCUCAUCGGCAAAGGAGGGACGCUCAUCAAGUGGUUAGCUCAAGAGUCAAAUGCUGGCAUCACGGUCUCACACCACCGACUCUGCUACGGUUUCAAUGACAGACUGGUUAACAUCACCGGGCGCUUGGAACAUCAGCUGCAGGCCAUAUUCCUUAUACUCUCCGAGCUGCUUGACGAUGUCCACUACUUAUCCUCCUACCAAAGCGUUGGUUUUCCACGUUGUCAUGUUUCAAGCGUUGGGUGUGACGGUGAUGCUCAAGAUGAGCAUGUCGAGAGAUACCACAGCAGGCCCGACACUCCCGUGGGGUCACCUGACGUCGACGACGGCAGAGACGUACAAGGGACUCUGACCAUCGCUGUCGCGACUGAGUACGUGGGCGCCGUCAUUGGUCGUGGUGGGAGGGUCAUCAAGGAGAUCCAACAGGCUACGGGCGUGUUGAUCACGGUGUUCAAGGGGAAGCUCUUACCUGGGAUGAGGGAAAGGGAGGUGGUGAUCAGCGGGACGCGGGAGGCGGUGGAUGCCGCGGAGGCGAUGAUCGCGGAGCACAUCUCGUACGCCAUGGGUCGCCGCCGCGGGCGGAACCAGCAGGGUGGCGAGGGGAGGAGGCCUUGUGUGGAGUAG